AACGAACGCUGGCGGCAGGCCUAACACAUGCAAGUCGAACGAACCGUGCCCUUCGGGGCACUAUGUUAGUGGCGCACGGGUGAGUAACACGUGGGAACGUACCCUUUAGUGCGGAAUAACCAAGGGAAACUUUGGCUAAUACCGCAUACGCCCUUCGGGGGAAAGAUUUAUCGCUAAAGGAUCGGCCCGCGCCUGAUUAGGUUGUUGGUGGGGUAAAAGCCUACCAAGCCGACGAUCAGUAGCUGGUCUGAGAGGAUGAUCAGCCACACUGGGACUGAGACACGGCCCAG
rnacentral:rRNA from 1 species